rnacentral:rRNA from 1 species
UACGUAGGGUGCAAGCGUUGUCCGGAAUUAUUGGGCGUAAAGAGCUCGUAGGCGGUUUGUUGCGUCGGCUGUGAAAUCCCGAGGCUCAACCUCGGGUCUGCAGUCGAUACGAGCAAACUAGAGUGUUGCAGGGGAGACUGGAAUUCCUGGUGUAGCGGUGAAAGUGCGCAGAUAUCAGGAGGAACACCGGUGGCGAAGGCGGGUCUCUGGGCAACAACUGACGCUGGAGGAGCGAAAGCGUGGGGAGCGAACAGG